rnacentral:tRNA from 1 species
AUAAGAACGGGAGUCAAACCCGCGUUCACAGGACUACAGCCUGCCGCUAAACACUCAGCCAUCUUACCUG